GUCGUAUCAUUAUCAUAUUGUUAAAAUUCUCAUUUGAAAUUUUUUAAAAUAGCAUUAUAAAACAAAUUAUCUGUUAGGAUAUCGAUAGGAUUUUAGACCAGCUGCCUUGCACAGCUUGCUGCCUGGCAUUUCUGUACUGUACUGUCUGCAAUAAGGUCAGUGAUAAGGUUAGCGCUAUACGUGACACGCCAUCAUCACAUCCAUCAACUUGCAUGAAAAUAAAUACUUGCUCGAUAACAGCUCCACAAGCCGGUCAACAUUUUUAAAUAUUGGUCUGCUUUUGCACUGUAGUACACCAAUAAAUAGCCAAGUUACAAAAUGUCAAAUACAAGGAUUCACUAACAUAAAUUGUAUUGUACGUUGCUUGCCAAUAAAUUUCAUGAAUUCACAAAUUUACGCAUUCAAUACAGCAAUACAGCAUGCGUUAAAUUAUUACAAAAAACGAGAUUAUACGAGCCUUACCCAUGUGAGGACAGGUCCUUUCUUUCAGUAGAUUUUUGGCAACCAGGAAUUGAACAAAAAGUUGGCAUGGUUGCAAAUGUCUCGCUUUAAUAUAAGAAAAUUUCCGACCGAAAUUUUGAAUUUACCUCCUUCUGCUUUAAGCAAAUUGAAAGGGGGGUGUGAAUAACUUUUUUCUUCACUUUAGUAUUUAAGGUCAGUGGUGUUCACCAUAAAUGUAGGUCGAUUGUGACGUCAAAAUGACGUAAAUUUGGCCAAAAUCCGCCAUGUUUUUGGUCACACAUUUUUGACUGACGAGGUAUUGGAGCACGAUCUCCAGAUAUAUUAAGUAUAGCUCAGUGGGCCCGACCUUUAAUUAAUGUCCCUCCAAGAUCCUUUGUUUGCUUCAAAAAUCCGGAAAAAAACAAUUGGUCUACGACCUGUAUAUGAGUUUGUAUGCAUUUCAUUUAGGACAGAUAAUCUCAACUGUUUUAGGGCAAGUUGACCAUGACGGUCAACAUGGUAACGUUGCCCGAACCCCAAUCCGGGGCGAAACGUCCGAAAUUGACCACACCCAAAAACAACGCUUUCGCCAUACUGCUAUCUACCAAAC